rnacentral:rRNA from 1 species
CCUACGGGAGGCAGCAGUAGGGAAUAUUGCUCAAUGGGGGAAACCCUGAAGCAGCAACGCCGCGUGGAGGAUGAAGGUUUUCGGAUUGUAAACUCCUUUUGUUAGAGAAGAUAAUGACGGUAUCUAACGAAUAAGCACCGGCUAACUCCGUGCCAGCAGCCGCGGUAAUACGGAGGGUGCAAGCGUUACUCGGAAUCACUGGGCGGAAAGAGCGCGUAGGCGGGAUAGCAAGUCAGAUGUGAAAUCCUAUGGCUUAACCAUAGAACUACAUUUGAAACUGUUAUUCUAGAGUAUGGGAGAGGUAGGUGGAAUUCUUGGUGUAGGGGUAAAAUCCGUAGAGAUCAAGAGGAAUACUCAUUGCGAAGGCGACCUGCUAGAACAUAACUGACGCUGAUGCGCGAAAGCGUGGGGAGCAAACAGGAUUAGAUACCCCGGUAGUC